AACUCAUGAUGAGGACAUGAGUUCAAGAGCUCUUUGAACCUAUCCCAAAAUUCGAAAAAAAAUUUAACUAUCUUUAACUACAAAAUUUGUGAUUUGACAUUUAAGCGU